rnacentral:piRNA from 1 species
UGGGGACCUUACAGGGAUGACU